UGGCUCAGUUGGUAGAGCAUGGUGUUUGCAAUGCCAGGGUUAUGGGUUCAAUUCCCAU
rnacentral:tRNA from 1 species